ACGGGUGAGUAACACGUAGGCAACCUGCCUGCAAGCCUGGGAUAACUGCGGGAAACCGCAGCUAAUACCGGAUACGCAGUCGAGAUGCAUAUCUUGACUGGGAAAGGCGGAGCAAUCUGUCGCUUGUAGAUGGGCCUGCGGCGCAUUAGCUAGUUGGUGAGGUAACGGCUCACCAAGGCGACGAUGCGUAGCCGACCUGAGAGGGUGAUCGGCCACACUGGGACUGAGACACGGCCCAGACUCCUACGGGAGGCAGCAGUAGGGAAUCUUCCGCAAUGGACGCAAGUCUGACGGAGCAACGCCGCGUGAGUGAGGAAGGCCUUCGGGUCGUAAAGCUCUGUUGCCAGGGAAGAAUGUCGAGGAGAGUAACUGCUCUUCGAAUGACGGUACCUGAGAAGAAAGCCCCGGCUAACUACGUGCCAGCAGCCGCGGUAAUACGUAGGGGGCAAGCGUUGUCCGGAAUUAUUGGGCGUAAAGCGCGCGCAGGCGGCUUUGUAAGUCUGGUGUUUAAACCCGAAGCUCAACUUCGGGUCGCAUUGGAAACUGCAAGGCUUGAGUGCAGAAGAGGAAAGUGGAA
rnacentral:rRNA from 1 species